rnacentral:rRNA from 1 species
CACGGGGGUUGCGAGCGUUGUCCGGAAUUACUAGGCGUAAAGGGCAGGCAGGCGGAUCCAUAAGUUUAUCGUUUAAGGCGUCGGCUUAACCGGCGUAGGGCGGUAGAUGCUGUGGAUCUGGAAUGCGGUUGGGGAAGACAGAAUUCCUGGUGUAGCGGUGGAAUGCGCAGAAAUCAGGAGGAAUACCGAAGGCGAAGGCAGUCUUCCAAGCCGUUAUUGACGCUCAACUGCGAAGGUGUGGGUAUCAAACAGGAUUAGAUACCCUGGUAGUCCCUGA